GACGAACGCUGGCGGCGUGCCUAAUACAUGCAAGUCGAGCGGACGAAUCGAAAGCUUGCUUUUUGUUCGUUAGCGGCGGACGUGUGAGUAACACGUGUGUCACCUGCCCUGUAUACGGGGAUAACACCGAGAAUUCGGUGCUAACACCGUAUAACCCGCAGUGUCGCAUGACGUUUCGUUGAAAUACGGCGCAUGCUGCUGCUAUCGCAUGGGCUCGCGGCGCAUUUGCUAGUUGGUGUGGUAACGGCUCACACAGGCGACGAUACGUAGCCGACCUGAGGGAGUGAUAGGCGACACGGGGACUGAGACGCGGACAAGACUCCUGAGGGAGGCAGCAGUAGGGAAUCUUACGCAAUAGACGAAAGUCUGACGGAGCAACGCCGCGUGAGCGAAGAAGGCCUUCGGGUCGUAAAGAUCUGUUGUUAGGGAAGAACAAGUAACGCAGUAACUGGAGUUACCGUGACGGUACCUAACGAGAAAGCAACGGCUAACUACGUG
rnacentral:rRNA from 1 species